AAUCUGGGGUCCACGGCCCCCGAGUUGUAAUUUGGAGAGGCAUCUUCGGGGGGGAGCGCCGGCCAAUGUUCCUUGGAACAGGACGUCGCAGAGGGUGAGAAUCCCGUGCCGGGCCGGCUGCCUCCUCCCGGGUGAAGGGCCUUCGACGAGUCGAGUUGUUUGGGAAUGCAGCUCCAAGUGGGUGGUAAAUUUCAUCUAAAGCUAAAUACCGGCGGGAGACCGAUAGCGCACAAGUAGAGUGAUCGAAAGAUGAAAAGCACUUUGAAAAUAGAGUCAAAAAGUACGUGAAAUUGUUGAAAGGGAAGCGCUUGAGACCAGACUCGGGCCCGGGCAAACAUCGCGUCCCUCGGGGCCGUGCAAUUGCCCGGGGCCGGGCCAGCAUCAGUUGGCGUGGCGGGACAAAGGCGCGGGGAAUGUGGCUCCCCUCGGGGAGUGUUAUCAGGCCCGCGCUCAAUGCCGCCGACGCCGACUGAGGACCGCGCCUAGGCUUGGAUGCUGGCUUAAUGGCCUUCAGCGACCCGUCUUGAAACACGGACCAAGGAGUCUAACAUCUAUGCGAGUGUUUGGGCGUCAAACCCUUGCGCGGAAUGAAAGUGAGCGGAGGUGGGAACCCCCCGGCGGGGUGCACCAUCGACCGAUCCUGAUGUCAUCGGAUGGAUUUGAGUA
rnacentral:rRNA from 1 species